ACGGGAGGCAGCAGUGGGGAAUAUUGCACAAUGGGGGAAACCCUGAUGCAGCGACGCCGCGUGAGCGAUGAAGUAUUUCGGUAUGUAAAGCUCUAUCAGCAGGGAAGAUAAUGACGGUACCUGACUAAGAAGCACCGGCUAAAUACGUGCCAGCAGCCGCGGUAAUACGUAUGGUGCAAGCGUUAUCCGGAUUUACUGGGUGUAAAGGGAGCGUAGGCGGUUUUAUAAGUCUGAAGUGAAAGCCCGGGGCUCAACCCCGGGACUGCUUUGGAAACUGUAGAACUAGAGUGUCGGAGGGGUAAGUGGAAUUCCUAGUGUAGCGGUGAAAUGCGUAGAUAUUAGGAGGAACACCAGUGGCGAAGGCGGCUUACUGGACGAUUACUGACGCUGAGGCUCGAAAGCGUGGGGAGCAAACAGGAUUAGAUACCCUGGUA
rnacentral:rRNA from 1 species